rnacentral:sRNA from 1 species
GAGAUCCGGUCGAUCUAGCUGCAAUAUCUGUCACUGAUCAUCAGAGUUGAUUUGGCUAAUCUGGUUUGCCAAGUAUGAGCCUCCAAGUACCUCAUCAUCCCAUUAAAGUCUCUCUUGAAGCUGUGCUUUGGGCAAAGGGAAGAGCAUUAGCAAAGACAGAAGGACCAUUCCUUAGUCAAGGCUAAAUCAGCUAAUCAGCUCUACUUUGUUUUUUAAGUGAAACGAAGAUACUUAACUGUGGUUCCCAGUUCUUGGGCUAACAGGUU